GAUGAACGCUAGCGGCGGGCCUAAUACAUGCAAGUCGAACGGGAAAGGUGGCAACACCUUGAGAGUGGCGUACGGGUGCGUAACGCGUAUACAACCUGCCUGUUACACGGGGAUAGCCUUGCGAAAGCGAGAUUAAUACCCGAUGGUACUAUUGAGCGGCAUCGCUUGGUAGUUAAAGCUGAGGCGGUAACAGAGGGGUAUGCGUCCCAUUAGCUAGUUGGUAGUGUAACGGACUACCAAGGCGACGAUGGGUAGGGGUUCUGAGAGGAUGAUCCCCCACACUGGUACUGGGAUACGGACCAGACUCCUACGGGAGGCAGCAGUAGGGAAUAUUGGGCAAUGGACGGAAGUCUGACCCAGCCACGCCGCGUGCAGGAAGAAGGUCCUCUGGAUUGUAAACUGCUUUUCUUGGGGAAGAAAACCCUUCUGCGGAAGGAAUUGACGGUACUCAAGGAAUAAGCAUCGGCUAACUCCGUG
rnacentral:rRNA from 1 species